AUUGAACGCUGGCGGCAGGCCUAACACAUGCAAGUCGAGCGAUCGGCGGACGGGUGAGUAAUGUAUGGGGACUGCCCGAUAGAGGGGGAUAACUACUGGAAACGGUGGCUAAUACCGCAUACUAUCGGAUAACCCAUAUGGGAUUAGUUAGUAGGUGGGGUAAAGGCUCACCUGGGCGACGAUCUCUAGCUGGUCUGAGAGGAUGAUCAGCCACCCGGGGACUGGGACACGGCCCAGACUCCUACGGGGGAAGCAGUGGGGAAUAGUGGGCAAUGGGCGCAAGCCGGAUGCAGCGACGCCGCGUGGGGGAUGAAGGCUUUCGGGUUGUAAAGUACUUUCAGCGGGGAGGCGUUACCCGCAGAAGAAGCACCGGCUAACUCCGUGCCAGCAGCCGCGGUAAUAC
rnacentral:rRNA from 1 species